rnacentral:lncRNA from 1 species
UUUUUACAUACAAGGAUUUGACUCACUUACAUAUCUUAAUCCUUGCAAAAAUGAAGUGUGCUUUAAUAUCUUAUCAAUUUGAACUUCACAUAUGGCUUUCCUCCUUCAUGUAAAAAGAUAACAAAUAAAAAGGAAGAAGCAAUAAAAGCUAUCUCCAUGUCAUGUUUUCCUCGAGAUGUUUGCAUAAUUGGUAUCCUAUCACUCACUG